ensembl:misc_RNA Metazoa_SRP Metazoan signal recognition particle RNA
GCCGGGCAUGGUGGCGCAUGCCUGUAAUCCUAGCUACUUGGGAGGCUGAGGCAGAAGAAUCGCUUGCACCCAGGAGGUGGAGGUUGCAGUGAGCCAAGAUUGCGCCAUCGCACUCCAGCCUGGUGACAGAGUGAGACUCUGUCUCAA